CAUACACACACAAAUAUAUCUUGAAAUAGAGAGAGAUUAGAGAAAAGAAACCUAGCUGUUUCUUGCAAUACCUACCAAUACAUUCAUCUAAAGCAAAAAUGUUUUCAGGGGUCCUUAAAAUACUGUUGUGGAUGCCCAGAUUAUUAUUUUGUCAU